rnacentral:pre_miRNA from 1 species
UUUGUACUCCCUCCGUUUGGAAUUACUUGUCUUGGAUAUGGAUGUAUCUAGAACUAAAAUACAUCUAGAUACAUCCAUUUCUGCGACAAAUAAUUCCGAACGAAGGGAGUAGUUC